UGGGGAAUAUUGCACAAUGGGCGAAAGCCUGAUGCAGCAACGCCGCGUGAGUGAUGAAGGCCUUCGGGUUGUAAAGCUCUGUCUUUUGGGACGAUAAUGACGGUACCAAAGGAGGAAGCCACGGCUAACUACGUGCCAGCAGCCGCGGUAAUACGUAGGUGGCAAGCGUUGUCCGGAUUUACUGGGCGUAAAGGAUGCGUAGGUGGAUAUUUAAGUGGGAUGUGAAAUACCCGGGCUCAACUUGGGUGCUGCAUUCCAAACUGGAUAUCUAGAGUGCAGGAGAGGUAAGUGGAAUUCCUAGUGUAGCGGUGAAAUGCGUAGAGAUUAGGAAGAACACCAGUGGCGAAGGCGACUUACUGGACUGUAACUGACACUGAGGCAUGAAAGCGUGGGGAGCAAACA
rnacentral:rRNA from 1 species